GACGAACGCUGGCGGCGUGCUUAACACAUGCAAGUCGAACGGAGCACCCCUGAAGGAGUUUUCGGACAACGGAUGGGAAUGCUUAGUGGCGGACUGGUGAGUAACGCGUGAGGAACCUGCCUUCCAGAGGGGGACAACAGUUGGAAACGACUGCUAAUACCGCAUGAUGCGUUGGAGCCGCAUGACUCCGACGUCAAAGAUUUAUCGCUGGAAGAUGGCCUCGCGUCUGAUUAGCUAGUUGGUGAGGUAACGGCCCACCAAGGCGACGAUCAGUAGCCGGACUGAGAGGUUGGCCGGCCACAUUGGGACUGAGAUACGGCCCAG
rnacentral:rRNA from 1 species